CAAAGGCAUGGUCCUGACCUUAUUAUCAGCUCUUACCCGACUUACACAUGCAAGUCUCCGCAAUCCCGUGAGUAUGCCCUCAAUCCCCUGCCCGGGGACGAGGAGCGGGCAUCAGGCACAAAUUUUAGCCCAAGACGCCUGGCCAAGCCACACCCCCAAGGGAAUUCAGCAGUGAUAAACAUUAAGCCAUAAGUGAAAACUUGACUCAGUCAAGGUAAAGAGGGCCGGUAAAACUCGUGCCAGCCACCGCGGUUAAACGAGAGGCCCUAGUUGAUAAAACCACGGCGUAAAGGGUGGUUAAGGAAAGCAAAACAAAUUAAAGCCAAAUGGCCCUUUGGCCGUCAUACGCUUAUAGGUGUCCGAAGCCCAAUUAUACGAAAGUAGCUUUAUAAAGCCCACC
rnacentral:rRNA from 1 species